GAAAUGUCUGUACUUUUGUAGGACCAAAUGUCUUGUUUGGUAAUGAAAAUGGUGGCAGGCUCGUCCAAAAGAUGGCAAAGACUUGUUCAACUUCCAUGGCUGUCAUCCACAGGGCACAAGGCCAGGAUUCAUCUCACUUCACUACUCUAUGAUUAAGCUGAUUGUGUAGUUUCUUUCAGUAGGCAAACGAUUUCUCAUUCCCUUAAAAAUUAAAUCUCCUUGUCAGAUAAUCUCCUUAUAUUAAUACUAACCUAACUUUUCUACAUUCCAUUGUCCUAUCAAAGCCUAAGGCGUUGAGUGGAUGUAGACUGCAAGCAUUUAUUAUUUGUCCUUCAGGCUUCAAUAACAACGAAACUUCCCCAAAUAAUAAUUCUUUGUGCUAAUUCAGUACACAACACAAAAUUCAUUUCUACUUAUCAGAAUAUCUUUUAUCAUAUUCAUAUAUUUUGGAUUUUAAUUAAAUACUAAACAUUGUUACUUUUAUUAAAUUACUACAUAUAUAUUUCUUAUACGCAAAAGUAACAAUGCAAAAAUUAAAUUACUACCAAAUUCAAGAAAAUUGAGAUUCUGAUUCCAUUAGUGAAUUAGAAAAUUGACAUUUUACCUGCCUGCUACUGAACAGCUCGCUUGGACGCUUGCAAGAAACCUUUUGUCUCUGACAUAAAUGGAGAAAUUUAUGAUAAUUC
rnacentral:lncRNA from 1 species